UAGUAUUAAAUUCAUGCUAUAUACCCAAUGUCACCAAUGGCUUAUGGGCCACCAUAAUAGCUAGCCUCAAAACAUGCCCGGUGAAUGGUAGAUGCCUUGUAAAUCACCAUAAUCAAGGAAAGAAACAGUUUUGGAUAAUAAAUGUAAAAAGUAUACAUAUACCUAAAAAUGAUGAAUAAUUUGUAUUUUAUAUAGUGAAAAGUCACCAUACAUCCAUAUAGAACUAAGCUUAUAGUUGGACUAAUAUUACUUCAUAGACAAUUAAAUAACCAAGAAAGAAAAGGAUCAAUAAAUACAUAUCUUAAUGGUUCCAAUGAUGUAGCAUCAUGUAAAUUGUCAUUCUGCAAUCAUUUACAGUGUUACUUGCAAUAAGAUUAAGCCAAUGACCGUUGUGCCCUGAAAAAUCACCAGCCUUUGAGCUGACAGAUGAAAAUGAGAUAAUGUUUACCAAAACUUUCAUUUUCACUCUGGCAGAGAAGGCACAGUAGCACCAUAGUCAAUGUCCACCUCACUUGAGGAGGCUGCAAUGAUGCUACCAGACUGAAGAUGUCCUACAGUGAACCCUCUUCGUUGCUUUGCUAUUUGGCUGUGACUGUGAGAGCCAUAUCUUCAAAAGUGAUUCUAUCUACUUGUCGCCUGAACUUAGAAUUCCCGAUGGAUGAAAUUUAGCCUGCCUCUGCGGUUAUUAUUAAUUACUCAUUACUCAACAUGCUUUCUAGGAUAUAUUGCUCUUCUAUUUCAAGAUAGACAAAGAUAUAUUAGUAAGUUUCAGUGAAAAGAUUACAACUCAGUAAGCACAAGUCCAAAACCUAGAAUACUGGGAGAAUAGAAAAUGCAAAGGUUGGGCCAGAUGUGUCAUAGGAAUUGCAUUUUUUCAAAUCAAAAUUCCUUGAGAUACAAAACUAUUAUUUGAAAAUUUCAAAUUUUAUUAUCCUUGCACUAAUGAUAGUUCAUAUGAAUGUCUCAUUUUAGGAUUGCUGAUGCGGAGGAAAACUUAGGUGAGAGUGAAGUUUGUGAGGCUCACUUGGCAAAAUCCUUGUUUUUCAUCUGGAUUGGGGACAAGGUAUGUAUAUCUAUUAUAAUUUAUUUUACACUGUUGCAGGAGAAAGCCUUGGAACAUCUCAAGAUAACAGAAACCAAGACUGUUGCAGUUGGGCAGAAGAUGGACCUGGUAUUUUAUACAUUGCAGCUUGGUUUCUUUGGCAUGGAUUUUGAUCUCAUUUCCAAAAGCAUUGACAAAGCUAAAAGGUAAUUCUUUGAAUCUCAAAUAUCUCU
rnacentral:lncRNA from 1 species